UACCAGCUCUCCGAGUUGUAGGGAUGAUUAUUGGGCUUAAAGCGUCCGUAGCUGGCUUAGCAAGUCUCCUGUUAAAUUCAGCGACCUAAUCGUUGAGCCGCGGGAGAUACUACUAGGCUAGGAGGCGGGAGAGGUCGACGGUACUUUCGGGGUAGGGGUGAAAUCCUAUAAUCCCGGGAGGACCACCAGUGGCGAAGGCUGUCGACUAGAACGCGCUCGACGGUGAGGGACGAAAGCUGGGGGGAGCGAACCGGAUUAGAUACCCGGGUAGUCCCAGCUGUAAACUAUGCGGGCUAGGUGUUGGGGUGGCUACGGGCCACUUCAGUGCCGCAGGAAGCCAUUAAGCCCGCCGCCUGGGGAGUACGGCCGCAAGGCUAGAAACUUAAAGGAAUUGGCGGGGGAGCACCACAAGGCGUGAAGCUUGCGGUUC
rnacentral:rRNA from 1 species